GUCCAAAUUUACAGAAAAAAUUUUUUUUAUUCCAUGAUAGAAAUGUGUGUAUGUACAGCAUCUGAAGUUGAUGUGUGUGUGUGUGUGUGUGUGUGUGUGUGUGUGUGUUUAGAUGACUCAGCGCAUCCGUUCGGUGAAGCGGCAGCUGAACGAGGCCGAGGAAGAGGCGAGUCGACGGGACGUCCAGCACCGACACACACACAGAGAACUGAUGGAGGAGAGAGAAAAUAACAGCCGCCUGCAGAGACAACUGCUGGACCAACAGCUGCACAACAACAGGAGGAAAGAGUCGAGACAAACUCUGGAAAACCUGAAGCUGCACCUGAGUGAAGAGGAUGAUGAAGAGGAAGAUCAGACCGAAUCCACAGACAAGCAGAUCACUCAGGUGUGACGGGACCAGACCAGACCAGACCGAACCGGCCUAACCGAAGCUAAAACUAUAUCAAAAACUGCCAAAACCCAAUCAGCCUGGACCUGAACGUAAACCUGCUGUCAAACGGUUUCCUUUCAAAUAUCAAAGACUACAAACCAAAACUGAUCACGGAAACCACUCGAGUCCAGGUCUACGAGAGGGAGACCGGAUCCAGAGAAGCUCCAUAUAAACACUGUUGUGGAAAAGCUCUUUCCUGUGGACUGACGCUCUUAGGAUUUGAAUAAGUACUUACAGGAGAAUCUGCUUCGCCGUCACUGCCAAAUCUGGUUUACAGUAAGCUAUUGUGUGCAUUAGUUCUUUAUCAAGCUCUCUGUUCUGUUUCUGUUGUUAUUUCUCAAUUCAAUCAUAUAUGCAAAUGACAUUAUGCAUAUAUUAAUAUAAUCUAGAUAGGAAUAAAUAUUGAUGAGUUUAUUUGCAUGCGUUGAGCGAUCAGGACGGAUAUUAUUCUGCUGAAGGUUAUUAAGGGAAUCGUCGUUAUUAAGUGUUCGUGAUGCUGUGCUGCAGAUUUAGCUCCAGGGGGUUUGAUAAGGAGUUCAAAGAUUAACGUGGAACUACCAAAUGGUAAUAAAAUAUUAUAAAUCAAGAUUUGUUUUGU
rnacentral:lncRNA from 1 species